GUUUCUGUAGUUGAAGACAAUAGCGGCUUUUCGAGCCGCAGGUCUCGGGUAGUGGCCGAGCAGAAAUA
rnacentral:tRNA from 1 species